UUUUCGAAACAUCCAUGAGUCUAUUGUGUGUCCGUUUGUUUCAGAUCUCGUCUCUGGAGCAGGAGGUGAAGGAGGAGUACCAGUCUAGUGUGUUCCAGCACAGCCUGCAGGACAGAACAACUGAACUGGACCUGGAGAGGGUGGCCAGGGAGGCGUGAGAAGGGUCUGAUGAGUGAGUAUAAGGCCGCUCGGACCACAGCCCUGCAGACUUCUGUGGCCUUGGAGGAGCAGCAGCAGCAGAGAUGCUCAGGGAAGAACAACACUCUGAAUGCCAAAGACAAGCUACAGACCGGAGACUCAGUGGUCCUCAGCUCAGAGGACGAUGUAGAGGAGGACGAGGGACGGGGUGGGACAGUCCAGAGCCAAAAGAGACAACUCGCAAAA